rnacentral:sRNA from 1 species
GCCAGAUGUGACAUGCACACCUGUCAUCCCAGCUACCUGGGAGGCUGAGGCAGGAGGAUGGCUUGAGCACAGGAGUUCCAGGCCAGUCUAAGUGACAUAGUUGAACUCUGUCUCAA